rnacentral:rRNA from 1 species
GCAUAUCAAUAAGCGGAGGAAAAAGAAACCAACAGGGAUUACCUCAGUAACGGCGAGUGAAGCGGUAAAAGCUCAAAUUUGAAAUCUGGCCCUUUUAGGGUCCGAGUUGUAAUUUGUAGAAGAUGUUUCGGGUGUGGCACCGGUCUAAGUUCCUUGGAACAGGACGUCAUAGAGGGUGAGAAUCCCGUAUGUGACUGGCUGCCUACGCCUAUGUGAAACUCUUUCGACGAGUCGAGUUGUUUGGGAAUGCAGCUCAAAAUGGGUGGUAAAUUUCAUCUAAAGCUAAAUAUUGGCCAGAGACCGAUAGCGCACAAGUAGAGUGAUCGAAAGAUGAAAAGCACUUUGGAAAGAGAGUUAAACAGUACGUGAAAUUGUUGAAAGGGAAGCGCUUGCAAUCAGACUUGGGCCUAGGCGAUCAUGUAGGGUUCUCCCUGCUGCACUCGUCUAGGCACAGGCCAGCAUCGGUUCUGGUGGUGGGAUAAAGGCCCUGGGAAUGUGGCCCCUCUCGGGGGGUGUUAUAGCCCAGGGUGCAAUGCCGCCUACCGGGACCGAGGACCGCGCUUCGGCUAGGAUGCUGGCGUAAUGGUUGUAAGCGACCCGUCUUGAAACACGGACCAAGGAGUCUAACAUCUAUGCGAGUGUUUGGGUGUCAAACCCAUACGCGUAAUGAAAGUGAACGCUGGUGAGAACCCUUAAGGGUGCAUCAUCGACCGAUCUUGAUGUCUUCGGAUGGAUUUGAGUAAGAGCAUAGCUGUUGGGACCCGAAAGAUGGUGAACUAUGCGUGAAUAGGGUGAAGCCAGAGGAAACUCUGGUGGAGGCUCGCAGCGGUUCUGACGUGCAAAUCGAUCGUCAAAUUUGCGUAUAGGGGCGAAAGACUAAUCGAACCAUCUAGUAGCUGGUUCCUGCCGAAG